GGGCGCAUAGCUAAGUGGUAGAGGGCUUGCCUAGCAUGCAUGAGGCCCUGGGUUCCAUCCCCAGCACCCG
rnacentral:tRNA from 1 species